AUGGAUCUUCGGGGUUAGGUGAAAUUCCUUACCGGCGGUGAUGAAAUCUUAGCAUUUCUUAGCCCGCGACUCUUUUUUUAUUAAAAGACUGACUUGGUUAAAUUCCAAGGCCGACGGUUAAAGUCCGGAUGGGAGGAGAUUAAA
rnacentral:ncRNA from 2 species